rnacentral:rRNA from 1 species
AUACGUAGGGAGCGAGCGUUGUCCGGAAUUACUGGGUGUAAAGGGUGCGUAGGCGGGACUGCAAGUCAGAUGUGAAAUGCCGGGGCUCAACCCCGGAGCUGCAUUUGAAACUGUGGUUCUUGAGUGAGGUAGCGGUAAGCGGAAUUCCUAGUGUAGCGGUGAAAUGCGUGGAUAUUAGGAGGAACAUCGGUGGCGAAGGCGGCUUACGGGGCCUUUACUGACGCUGAGGCACGAAAGCGUGGGGAGCAAACAGGAUUAGAUACCCUGGUAGUCCACGUUGUAAACGAUGAAUACUAGGUGUAGGGGGUAUCGACUCCCUCUGUGCCGCAGUUAACACAAUAAGUAUUCCGCCUGGGGAGUACGGCCGCAAGGUUGAAACUCAAAUGAAUUGACGGG